rnacentral:rRNA from 1 species
CCUACGGGAGGCAGCAGUGGGGAAUUUUGGACAAUGGGCGCAAGCCUGAUCCAGCCAUGCCGCGUGCGGGAAGAAGGCCUUCGGGUUGUAAACCGCUUUUGUCAGGGAAGAAAUCCUUUGAGAUAAUACCUCGGAGGGAUGACGGUACCUGAAGAAUAAGCACCGGCUAACUACGUGCCAGCAGCCGCGGUAAUACGUAGGGUGCGAGCGUUAAUCGGAAUUACUGGGCGUAAAGCGUGCGCAGGCGGUCUUGCAAGACAGAUGUGAAAUCCCCGGGCUCAACCUGGGAACUGCAUUUGUGACUGCAAGGCUAGAGUACGGUAGAGGGGGAUGGAAUUCCGCGUGUAGCAGUGAAAUGCGUAGAUAUGCGGAGGAACACCGAUGGCGAAGGCAAUCCCCUGGACCUGUACUGACGCUCAUGCACGAAAGCGUGGGGAGCAAACAGGAUUAGAUACCCUGGUAGUCCACGCCCUAAACGAUGUCAACUGGUUGUUGGACGGCUUGCUGUUCAGUAACGAAGCUAACGCGUGAGUUGACCGCCUGGGGNGCGCGCGAGUAGAGANAGAGAGUGAGNGNGAGAGNGCGAGGACGACGACGAGGGAGGAGG